rnacentral:lncRNA from 1 species
UUUAAAUAAGAAAAAGAAAUAUGAAAAUGGAAGGAUUAAUGGUGAUGAACAUGGUAAGCAAGCGUAGAUAUAUCAAAACAUGGCCAUGGAAGAGAUGAUUAUCUAAUGGAAAAUAGAAGUGGAAUGAAAUCUGAUAUGUGAUGAAGAUUUGCCUCCUUGCCACGAAAUUCCAAUGCUCCUUUAGGGUUAGGGUUUCAGCUUCUUAAAUAGGGUGGAUUAGGUGUUCUCAUGGGCUUUUUAAUAAGUGAUUUA